CACAUUAAACCAUCUUAAACCUGUCACUGCUGAAGCGUUUGCAUAGAGAGAGUGUUUUACAUGAGCGACACACGCUUCAGUGCUCUGCAUGUGUUUAUAACUCUGUCAAACAUCAAACAUGAUCAACAACUGUUUUUCACUAGAACUGAACCUACAACCAACAAAAAUGACUUUCAGCACCAUAUUGAUCUGGACGCUGGCAGUAUUAUGUCGAGAAUCUGUUGGUCAGGUGACAGUGACUCAAACUCCCUCAGAGCUGCUCUCUCAAACUGGACAAUCAGUCACUGUGACCUGUAAAACUAGCAGAGAUCCAGGCUGUUGUUAUGAUGGUGGAAAACGCGCUCUGAGCUGGUACUUACAGAAACCUGGAGAAGCUCCUAAACUCCUGAUUUAUUAUAUAAGCAACUGUCAGUCAGGAACUCCAUCUAGAUUCAGUGGCAGUGGAUCUAACACUGAUUUCACUCUGACCAUCAGUGGAGUCCAGACUGAAGAUGCUGGACAUUAUUACUGUCAGAGUUACCAUGAAAUCAACAGUAAAGAUGUGUUCACACAGUGAUAAAGAGUCGUACAAAAACCUCUGUCAGUCAGAGUCACAGUGACUGAACUGAUACUGCAGCUGCUCACACACUUUCACACACUUUCA